AUUAUUUUGGCAGAUUAGUGCGUUAGAUUUAGGAUCUUUUUAUGUAAUUUUACAAAUAAUA
rnacentral:tRNA from 1 species